CAACCUCUUCCCAGAAGAGAGGGCUGAAUUUCCUCAGAAGAAAGUAAAAUUAUGAUGGGGUUUUAUUCUGCACCAUAAAAGUAGAGUUUUCAUGAGCUGUUGAAAAGAAGCAUUGCCUGUUUGUGUCUUAAGAAAAUAUAGAAGCUUUGUCAGAUGCUCACAAGGAAGUCCAGAAUUGUAAUAAGAUAGCACUGCCCACUAUCAGAGGACAUCCUGAGCCAUCUCUGAGGUUCUUCCUCUGUAUCUCGAGGGUGAGUGUCCCGAGCUCCUGAUGUCUGUGACCACGUCUGUUCUCCCUGCCAUGUGCCUCACAGCUUCCUGAGCUAAUGGUUAUUUAUCCUCAGCUUUCAGCUGCCAUCCUUACGUCCACGGAGUAGAAUGGAUGGUUUUAACCUUGAGUAAUUACCAGAAAAGAAACCUUUGCAACCAAAGACUGGCAUCAAGAGAGGCCAGGACCGUUCAUAUUGACUGCAUAAAAAACAAUAGAAGGGCCCCAAAACAAUAAUUAAAU
ensembl:lncRNA